rnacentral:rRNA from 1 species
AGAGCUCUUUCUUGAUUUUGUGGGUGGUGGUGCAUGGCCGUUCUUAGUUGGUGGAGUGAUUUGUCUGCUUAAUUGCGAUAACGAACGAGACCUUAACCUGCUAAAUAGCCCGUAUUGCUUUGGCAGUACGCUGGCUUCUUAGAGGGACUAUCGGCUCAAGCCGAUGGAAGUUUGAGGCAAUAACAGGUCUGUGAUGCCAUUAGAUGUUCUGGGCCGCACGCGCGCUACACUGACGGAGCCAGCGAGUACUUCCUUGUCCGAAAGGUCCGGGUAAUCUUGUUAAACUCCGUCGUGCUGGGGAUAGAGCAUUGCAAUUAUUGCUCUUCAACGAGGAAUCCCUAGUAAGCGCAAGUCAUCAGCUUGCGUUGAUUACGUCCCUGCCCUUUGUACACACCGCCCGUCGCUACUACCGAUUGAAUGGCUCAGUGAGGCGUCCGGACUGGCCCAGAGAGGUGGGCAACUACCACUCAGGGCCGGAAAGCUCUCCAAACUCGGUCAUUUAGAGGAAGUAAAAGUCGUAACAAGGUCUCCGUUGGUGAACCAGCGGAGGGAUCAUU